AGUGAACGCUGGCGGUAGGCCUAACACAUGCAAGUCGAACGGCAGCACAGUAAGAGCUUGCUCUUACGGGUGGCGAGUGGCGGACGGGUGAGGAGUACAUCGGAAUCUACUUUUUCGUGGGGGAUAACGUAGGGAAACUUACGCUAAUACCGCAUACGACCUACGGGUGAAAGCAGGGGAUCUUCGGACCUUGCGCGAUUGAAUGAGCCGAUGUCGGAUUAGCUAGUUGGCGGGGUAAAGGCCCACCAAUGCGACGAUCCGUAGCUGGUCUGAGAGGAUGAUCAGCCACACUGGAACUGAGACACGGUCCAGACUCCUACGGGAGGCAGCAGUGGGGAAUAUUGGACAAUGGGCGAAAGCCUGAUCCAGCCAUGCCGCGUGUGUGAAGAAGGCCUUCGGGUUGUAAAGCCCUUUUGUUGGGAAAGAAAAGCAGUAGGUUAAUACCUCGCUGUUCUGACGGUACCCAAAGAAUAAGCACCGGCUAACUUCGUG
rnacentral:rRNA from 1 species